AUUGUGAAAGAGCCUGGUGUGGA
rnacentral:piRNA from 1 species